AACAAACGCUGGCGGCAGGCCUAACACAUGCAAGUCGAGCGCCCCGCAAGGGGAGCGGCAGACGGGUGAGUAACGCGUGGGAAUCUACCCAUCUCUACGGAAUAACGCAUGGAAACGUGUGCUAAUACCGUAUACGUCCUUCGGGAGAAAGAUUUAUCGGAGAUGGAUGAGCCCGCGUUGGAUUAGCUAGUUGGUGGGGUAAAGGCCUACCAAGGCGACGAUCCAUAGCUGGUCCGAGAGGAUGAUCAGCCACACUGGGACUGAGACACGGCCCAGACUCCUACGGGAGGCAGCAGUGGGGAAUAUUGGACAAGGGGCGCAAGCCUGAUCCAGCCAUGCCGCGUGAGUGAUGAAGGCCCUAGGGUUGUAAAGCUCUUUCACCGGUGAAGAUAAUGACGGUAACCGGAGAAGAAGCCCCGGCUAACUUCGUGCCAGCAGCCGCCGCCGUAA
rnacentral:rRNA from 1 species